rnacentral:rRNA from 1 species
GGGUUGUGAGGUUAAGCGACUAAGCGUACACGGUGGAUGCCCUGGCAGUCAGAGGCGAUGAAGGACGUGCUAAUCUGCGAAAAGCGUCGGUAAGGUGAUAUGAACCGUUAUAGCCGGCGAUGUCCGAAUGGGGAAACCCAGUGCAAUUCGUUGCACUAUCGUUAACUGAAUACAUAGGUUAACGAGGCGAACCGGGGGAACUGAAACAUCUAAGUACCCCGAGGAAAAGAAAUCAACCGAGAUUCCCCCAGUAGCGGCGAGCGAACGGGGAGCAGCCCAGAGUCUGAAUCAGCUUGUGUGUUAGUGGAACGGUCUGGAAAGUCCGACGGUACAGGGUGAUAGUCCCGUACACCAAAAUGCACAGGUUGUGAACUCGAAGAGUAGGGCGGGACACGUGGUAUCCUGUCUGAAUAUGGGGGGACCAUCCUCCAAGGCUAAAUACUCCUGACUGACCGAUAGUGAACCAGUACCGUGAGGGAAAGGCGAAAAGAACCCCGGCGAGGGGAGUGAAAAAGAACCUGAAACCGUGUACGUACAAGCAGUGGGAGCACCUUCGGGUGUGACUGCGUACCUUUUGUAUAAUGGGUCAGCGACUUAUAUUCUGUAGCAAGGUUAACCGUAUAGGGGAGCCGCAGGGAAACCGAGUCUUAACUGGGCGUUAAGUUGCAGGGUAUAGACCCGAAACCCGGUGAUCUAGCCAUGGGCAGGUUGAAGGUUGGGUAACACUAACUGGAGGACCGAACCGACUAAUGUUGAAAAAUUAGCGGAUGACUUGUGGCUGGGGGUGAAAGGCCAAUCAAACCGGGAGAUAGCUGGUUCUCCCCGAAAGCUAUUUAGGUAGCGCCUCGUGAAUUCAUCUUCGGGGGUAGAGCACUGUUUCGGCUAGGGGGUCAUCCCGACUUACCAACCCGAUGCAAACUACGAAUACCGAAGAAUGUUAUCACGGGAGACACACGGCGGGUGCUAACGUCCGUCGUGAAGAGGGAAACAACCCAGACCGCCAGCUAAGGUCCCAAAGUCAUGGUUAAGUGGGAAACGAUGUGGGAAGGCACAGACAGCCAGGAUGUUGGCUUAGAAGCAGCCAUCAUUUAAAGAAAGCGUAAUAGCUCACUGGUCGAGUCGGCCUGCGCGGAAGAUGUAACGGGGCUAAACCAUGCACCGAAGCUGCGGCAGCGACACUAUGUGUUGUUGGGUAGGGGAGCGUUCUGUAAGCCUGCGAAGGUG